rnacentral:rRNA from 1 species
GGGUUAGUAGGUUGGUCGUGCCACCGGUACGUACUGGUCUCACUGAUUCCUCCUUCCUGAAGAACCGUAAUGCCAUUAAUUUGGUGUUGCGGGGAAACAGGACUGUUACUUUGAAAAAAUUAGGGUGUUUAAAGCAAGCUAACGCUCGAAUACAUUAGCAUGGAAUAAUGAAAUAGGACGAUCGAUCAUAUUUUGUUGGUUUCUAGGAUUGACGUA